rnacentral:rRNA from 1 species
GAUGAACGCUAGCGGCAGGCUUAACACAUGCAAGUCGAGGGGUAUAGUUCUUCGGAACUAGAGACCGGCGCACGGGUGCGUAACGCGUAUGCAAUCUACCUUUCACAAAGGGAUAGCCCCAGAGAAAUUUGGAUUAAUACCUUAUAGUAAUACGACUUGGCAUCAAGAUGUAUUUAAAGAUUUAUCGGUGAAAGAUGAGCAUGCGUCCAUUAGCUUGUUGGUAAGGUAACGGCUUACCAAGACAAUGAUGGGUAGGGGUCCUGAGAGGGAGAUCCCCCACACUGGUACUGAGACACGGACCAAGACUCCUACGGGAGGCAGCAGUGAGGAAUAUUGGACAAUGGGCGCAAGCCUGAUCCAGCCAUGCCGCGUGCAGGAUGACGGUCCUAUGGAUUGUAAACUGCUUUUGUACAGGAAGAAACACUACUUCGUGAAGUAGCUUGACGGUACUGUAAGAAUAAGGAUCGGCUAACUCCGUGCCAGCAG